GAUGCAGUCUAUGGUGAAGCUGACAGUGCUGCCUUCAGAAUGCUCAGUGGGUACUCUGUGAAGAAGAGGACUUAGGAGCCGGACCUGGUCACGUGGUGCAAGGAAAACAACGUGUGGCCAGGACUACAGCAUUCAAUCUGUUACCAUGGAAACCAAAGGCAUAUUUAAUGUGGAAAGAAAGAAGACUGGCUGCCCACGUUCCUGACCUGCAAGUCAGGGAUGAGCGGUGACCUGUCUAAAUUUAAUUUAAUAAACUCUGUUUGUUCUAAAUAGAGUCCUUCAGUGGAAUACAGCUCUAUUUUUGGCAUUACAAUAAAAAUCAACUUUUAUUAAAAGAGUUUGAAUUACUAUCCUUUUAAUUUAUCUGUGGUUUUACAAAAACAUAUCUCAAAUGUUCACCU
rnacentral:lncRNA from 1 species